UGGACGAAAGUCUGACCGAGCAACGCCGCGUGAGUGAAGAAGGUUUUGCGGAUCGUAAAGCUCUGUUGUAAGUCAAGAACGUGUGUGAGAGUGGAAAGUUCACACAGUGACGGUAGCUUACCAGAAAGGGACGGCUAACUGCGUGCCAGCAGCCGCGGUAAUACGUAGGUCCCGAGCGUUGUCCGGAUUUAUUGGGCGUAAAGGGAGCGCAGGCGGUCAGGAAAGUCUGGAGUAAAAGGCUAUGGCUCAACCAUAGUGUGCUCUGGAAACUGUCUGACUUGAGUGCAGAAGGGGAGAGUGGAAUUCCAUGUGUAGCGGUGAAAUGCGUAGAUAUAUGGAGGAACACCAGUGGCGAAAGCGGCUCUCUGGUCUGUCACUGACGCUGAGGCUCGAAAGCGUGGGUAGCGAACAGGAUUAGAUACCCUGGUAGUCCACGCCGUAAACGAUGAGUGCUAGGUGUUAGGCCCUUUCCGGGGCUUAGUGCCGGAGCUAACGCAAUAAGCACUCCGCCUGGGGAGUACGACCGCAAGGUUGAAACUCAAAGGAAUUGACGGGGGCCCGCACAAGCGGUGGAGCAUGUGGUUUAAUUCGAAGCAACGCGAAGAACCUUACCAGGUCUUGACAUCCCGAUGCUAUUCUUAGAGAUAGGAGGUUACU
rnacentral:rRNA from 1 species